AAAAAUCAUCUAGAAUCCCAAGCAAAGCUCAGUCCUUCCAGGUAUUUCUGCUGCUCCUGGAGCAACGUGAUUUGGACCUGAUGAUCUGGAAAGCUGCAGGGGCAGCCCCUGUGGUAAUUACUCCUGGAAGCCCUGACUUAGAUUCUGGCUUUUUGCACUCUUGCAUCCCAUCUCCUAUGUCCAUGUCUGGUUACUGAUGCAUCUCCCAGUCAGAGCGUCUUUUCCCUGCAGACCAAGGACAGCUGUGCUAGAACAUUGGGGAAUUGUGAAAAUGGGAGGACCACUAACUUUUCCUGCAUGUCUUGCCAUUGUCUUCAAAGCUGCUCCAUCCUAAGUCAACAUCUUUAUUGAGCCAUCCAUGACCACCUCCAGAUCUUUUUCCUGGUUAGAAAGACAGCUCUGAACUCAUCAGAAUACACUGAAGCUUUUUCUUCUAAUGCACAUCACUUUACACUUAUGUAAAUCAAACUGCAUUUGCCACUUGAUUGACCAUUCAACCUGUUUAAAGAGAUUCUCUUUACAAUCGUUUUUAAUAUCAUUUGCAUAUUUGAUUUCCUGCAUACUUGACCUCCUCAUUAUUGACCCUUAACAAAGUUUCUUGUUGUGAAAAAUGAUUCGUAAUGAAGAGACUCCAAAACCUAUUUCAGAUUAUCUUGCAAGUACAGAUAUUGUCUAUUGUCGUUACAGCACAGACAGUCCCAAAGAACACGAUCAUCUACUUUUAAUGGCACAGAUGUCACACGGUCCUGGUGCAACUCUUCCCAGUUCGAAGAGGAGAUGGCUUGAGAGGGCACAAUGACCUGAUGAUGCUUCUAAAAUGCUGACCUGCUCAAUUCAUCCCUCCUGACCUUUGAAAGAAUUCAAAUUAGAGCAAAGGUGAACAGAUUGAAGCCUACCAGCAUUGGUGGAUCAGAAAUAGACAUGUCAUUCCAAUAUACCUUUUAUAGAAGUAGGUGCAACACAAUGUGGUAGUCCCAUUUGUCUCUUUGCCCAGCAUGAAUUCUGCCACCCAAGUCCUAAACAGAUAUUCUUGUAUAGACCUUGUCAAACAAAGCAGUAAAAUAAUAGUUUCUUUAUGCUUGCUUUAUCAUAUUUAUACUGGAGUAGACAACCUUUUCACAGACCAGUUUUGGGGAAGGCUUAAAGACUUCAUUUCAGUUUUGGUUGGGACAAAGAUAAAGCAGAGAGAGUUAGAAGAGGAGGAGAAUGAGGAGACUUCCAAAAUAAACAAGGAUAUAAGUUACAUACACCUUUCCCCUGUAAGCCUGUUGAUUAUGACUUGAAUAAAUUGCUUAGAGUCUCACUAGACUUAAUGUGACUUGUUCUCAGGUAAGCAUUUAUAACAGCAGUCUCCUUACAGAGAAUGAAACAAUAAACUCACACGCAAAUAAUAGAACAGCAGCAUCUUCCAAACCCCUAAACAGCAGAUAAAUUGCUUUUUGCACAAUGAUACGUGGGUCCCCUUGAUUUCACUGAAGGGAACCCACAUGAGAAGGUAAUAAGUUUGCAACUGUCUUAAUCAGAAUUCAACAACGUAAGCCAAAGCAGAGAGCGCUGGCUGCAACAAUUUUGCAGCAUCUCCUGAGAAAGAAGACAGACAAUUAUCCUUCUCCAUCCUUCUGAUCGUUGAUUUAUCAGAUAGAAACAGAAUACUGUGGAGUCCUUGGGGUUCUCUGAGCUUGGUUCUUUUCUUGCAAACAUUUUGUUACCCAGCUAGGU